GGCUGAUUGUCCAGGCCAAUCCGGAUAAUCAAGGCUGAGGUGUGAUGACGAGGCACUACGGUGCUGAAGUAACAAAUGCCCUGCUUCCAGGAAAAGCCUCUAAGCAUCAGGUAACAUUAAAUCGUACCCCAAACCGACACAGGUGGUCAGGUAGAGAAUACCAAGGCGCUUGAGAGAACUCGGGUGAAGGAACUAGGCAAAAUGGUGCCGUAACUUCGGGAGACGGCACGCUGGUGUGUAGGUGA
rnacentral:rRNA from 1 species